UACGUAGGGGGGCAAGCGUUGUCCGGAUUUAUUGGGCGUAAAGAGCGUGUAGGCGGCUAGAUAGGUCCGUUGUGAAAACUCGAGGCUCAACCUCGAGACGUCGAUGGAAACCAUCUGGCUAGAGUCCGGAAGAGGAGAGUGGAAUUCCUGGUGUAGCGGUGGAAUGCGCAGAUAUCAGGAGGAACACCGGUGGCGAAGGCGGAUCUCUGGGCCAUAACUGACGUGAGGAGCGAAAGCAUGGGGAGCGAACAGG
rnacentral:rRNA from 1 species